rnacentral:rRNA from 1 species
GCUCUCCCACCCAGAAUGCACCUAGUCUCACCUCAUCUUGGAAGCGGAGCAGGGCCAGGCCUGGUUAGUACUUGGAUGGGACAGGAAAACAGCCCGAAAGUC